GCCUGGCUGCCGGGUCCUUUCAUGUACGGCAGUAUGAUUGAUAGCACCUGCAUCCUAUGGGGAAAGAAGUGUGGAGCCAAAGCAGCCUGCCAAUAUUAUAAUACCGAUCUGCUGAGGCAAAGGUACAUCGGCUUGCAUAU